CCCGAAUUCUCAGUUUGACCGAUCAUUUUCCCCUCUUCUUAGCCCUAAUUGCGGCACAGUAUGUGCUCAGUAGCGGAUUAGUAUAUAUAGGUCUCGUUCAUUCUUGUAGUGAACUUCAAAAGGAAAAGUAGUGUGACAACCAUGGGUGAGCAAGACCAAUUUCCUGGCAGUUGUAGUGAUGAUUAAAUGCCAAUUUUUUGAAAAACAACCUCAGAAAAAAAUGAAGAUUCAGGCAGAAUGUGCAGAAACUGGCAUUGAUUGGAUCAGUGAGUUGCCUGACUCUCUAAUUGUCCAAAUUCUUCUCUAAUGCCCGUAACAGAUGCCUUCAAAACAACUAUUCUCUGUAAACGUUGGCAAUACCUCUAUCGACAACGUUAUUUUUGACAGCAGGAAGACCAAGUGGUCUGAUAGCUAGGAAGUGGACAAGUUCAUUUCCUUCACGGACAAAGUACUACCUCUCCUUUGCUGCUCUAAAAUUAAAAAGUUCAGUCUAUAUUUCCAAUUUGGCUUUGUUGUGUCUUAUAGUUCCAAAAUUGACAAGUGGCUUGAAAUUGCUUUGAAGAAAAAGCUGGAGGAUGUUGACCUGGAAAUAUGGUAUCAUAAUCGAGAACCCUAUGUCUUGCCACAAGCUCUCUGCAGCAGCUCAUCGAUUCUUAAAUUAUAUUAAUUGAAUUGCAGAAUGCCAGAAGAAUGUGUACUAAAUUGGACAUUCCUAAAGAGUUUAACGCUAACAUAUUUGUUUCUCGGGGAUGAACAAAUAGCAUCAAGUUGUCCUCAGCUGGAAUCUUUGGAGCUACAAGAAUUUUGUGGUUUUCAUCGUUUGCAUAUAACUUCUCCCAAAUGUAGGAGAUUGCAAUUGAUCGAUUACAAACAUCCUGACAAAGGUUGGGGUUCACUUGGACGUGAUUGUUCCUUUGAAAUAGUUGCUCCAUAUGUUCAACAUAUAAAGUUUUCAGGCAUUUUGAUCAUGCGGAAGUUAAGCUUGGGGACCUUUCGUCUUUGGUCCAUGCUGAUCUUACUUUCUCUGUCGAUGCUGUAUAUGACAAAACCGUACAACAUCUCUUGGCAGUAUACGUUGUGCUUAAUGAGCUAAUGGUCCCAUGCUGGUUUAUUGAGGGCGAUUUCUUAGCCUCGGAUGAAUUGGACGAAGACAAUUCCCUCUCCUUGCAUGAAAACAUAUUCGAAGGCUCCUUACAGAAUUUGAAGAAUGCAGAGGUUACUUAAACCUGUUGUAGUUGUCAUCGCAGAGCUGACACAACAGAGUUCCUUACAGAAUUCUUGAAGUCUUUGCUUGAGCAUGCAAAUAAUCUUGAGAAACUGGUUAUUGAGCCAGUGCACAGGGGAUGCAACAUCUCUUCAACCAAUAUCUCAAAAGUGAUAAAGAAUUUGUUAGCCUUUCCCAGAGCUUCUAAUAGUGCAGUUGUUUUCUUAGGAUCAGUCUCUGGUGUUGACUUUCCUGGGGAGCAGAAACUUUUCUAUUGACCUUGUUUGUUCCCCAGAAUAUUUUUUUCGACAACUUUUGGAACUCUAAUAUUUUCGUAUGCGGUCAAUGUAUAGAAUUGUUAACCAUCAACUACAUAAGUAACUGAUAAAGAAGAUAAGUAAUCUGCUAUAAUUGAUUGAACUAUUGUGAUAGUGUAAAUUCUGAAUUGUUUUA